GCUCCUGGGAAGACACAGUGCUGCCCUGCCUGGACAGACACGCACGAUGAACGCAUAAACCUAAACCCACCCACGGAGAAACCUACGGUGGGGUUUUCUUUUUAUCCCCUUUCCAGCUGGGAAAGAUGGGGAUGAAUCACCAGGAGUUGCCACUGGAUUCAAGGAGAGGUAUUUACUGAAAAGUGUAACAUUAACAGCUGGAGGAGAAGAGUGAUCAUCAAAUGAAAUUAUGAGGUGGCAGGUUCAAAAGAAAGUACCUCUUCACACAAAACAAAUCUUGGAAGUUACUGCUACAGGAUAUCAGGAAGCAGUUAAAAAAGCAAUUAGCACGAUCAUGGAAGAAAAAUCCGAGCAGGGAUGUUCAGCACAAACACCUGUGAUUCAGGAGCUCUUUGAGGUGCAAAUCCGCAUCCUGCGGAAGCAUUUUGGGGAGCAGCCUCCCCUGUGCUCAUGCUGUCAUUAGGCAAUUACUGCUGGCUGCUCUGGGGAUAGUCCUGCACUGGACUUGAAAUGCUGCUGUUCUGACCCAGCACAGUCAUUCUUACAUUUAACUGUCAUUUCAUUCAAUGUGGGUUUUCUUUUUUCCCCCAGUCUUUAGUAAGUCACAGACAACUAUUGAAAUAAAUCUUUGUGACACAGAAAUUCUCUUUCUUUAUGCUCUGUACUUCUCUUGUUCUUUCCUGUCUAUUACUUCGAUUGAGGGAUGGAAGGUUGCUCUGCUGUGUGUUUGUAUAAUACCACAUUAUCAAGCUGAACGCUGGUCCGUGCCUGUAUUUCCUAGUUAAUUAUUUGAUAUAAAUAAAUAUUAAUAAUCUGUA